rnacentral:rRNA from 1 species
GGGGGUGGCGGGGGCUAUAAUGCAGUCGACGAACUUCCGUUAAUUGAUUAUGACGUACUUGUACUGAUUGAGAUUUUAACACGAAGUGAGUGGCGAACGGGUGAGUAACACGUGGGUAACCUGCCCAGAAGUAGGGGAUAACACCUGGAAACAGAUGCUAAUACCGUAUAACAGAGAAAACCGCAUGGUUUUCUUUUAAAAGAUGGCUCUGCUAUCACUUCUGGAUGGACCCGCGGCGUAUUAGCUAGUUGGUGAGGUAAAGGCUCACCAAGGCAGUGAUACGUAGCCGACCUGAGAGGGUAAUCGGCCACAUUGGGACUGAGACACGGCCCAGACUCCUACGGGAGGCAGCAGUAGGGAAUCUUCCACAAUGGACGCAAGUCUGAUGGAGCAACGCCGCGUGAGUGAAGAAGGGUUUCGGCUCGUAAAGCUCUGUUGUUAAAGAAGAACGUGGGUAAGAGUAACUGUUUACCCAGUGACGGUAUUUAACCAGAAAGCCACGGCUAACUACGUGCCAGCAGCCGCGGUAAUACGUAGGUGGCAAGCGUUAUCCGGAUUUAUUGGGCGUAAAGCGAGCGCAGGCGGUCUUUUAAGUCUAAUGUGAAAGCCUUCGGCUCAACCGAAGAAGUGCAUUGGAAACUGGGAGACUUGAGUGCAGAAGAGGACAGUGGAACUCCAUGUGUAGCGGUGAAAUGCGUAGAUAUAUGGAAGAACACCAGUGGCGAAGGCGGCUGUCUGGUCUGCAACUGACGCUGAGGCUCGAAAGCAUGGGUAGCGAACAGGAUUAGAUACCCUGGUAGUCCAUGCCGUAAACGAUGAUUACUAAGUGUUGGAGGGUUUCCGCCCUUCAGUGCUGCAGCUAACGCAUUAAGUAAUCCGCCUGGGGAGUACGACCGCAAGGUUGAAACUCAAAAGAAUUGACGGGGGCCCGCACAAGCGGUGGAGCAUGUGGUUUAAUUCGAAGCUACGCGAAGAACCUUACCAGGUCUUGACAUCUUCUG